UUUUUUCAUAUGGUAGGCCAAACAUCAAGUUCAAAUACCAUAAAAUGACCGGCGGAAUGUAGCUUCGAUCUCGUAUUGAAGUGUUAUAGCUCUGGUAGAUGUGGUGUUUGGGACUGAGGAUUGCAACGAAUACCUUUAGGGCUGUUCCCCUGGCCUCUCGUUGGCAUCCUGGCGGCGACAGCUUGCUGACGUCGUUAGGAUUCGCCUCGAACAGGCUAGAGUGUGAGCAAAUUCGUUAAGGAUGUUAACGUAAUGGCUUUAAACGA
rnacentral:rRNA from 1 species